rnacentral:rRNA from 1 species
AGCGAACGCUGGCGGCAGGCCUAACACAUGCAAGCCGAACGAAGUCUUCGGACUUAGUGGCGGACGGGUGAGUAACACGUGGGAACGUGCCCUUAGGUUCGGAAUAACUCAGGGAAACUUGUGCUAAUACCGAAUGUGCCCUUCGGGGGAAAGAUUUAUCGCCUUUAGAGCGGCCCGCGUCUGAUUAGCUAGUUGGUGAGGUAAAGGCUCACCAAGGCGACGAUCAGUAGCUGGUCUGAGAGGAUGAUCAGCCACAUUGGGACUGAGACACGGCCCAAAAUCCUACGGGAGGCAGCAUAGGGGAAUCUUGCGCAAUGGGCGAAAGCCUGACGCAGCCAUGCCGCGUGAAUGAUGAAGGUCUUAGGAUUGUAAAAUUCUUUCACCGGGGACGAUAAUGACGGUACCCGGAGAAGAAGCCCCGGCUAACUUCGUGCCAGCCGCCGCAGUAACAC